CUUCAGGCAGCCUGAAAACCCCAAAUAUUUUUUUUUCAUUUUUCUUUUUUUUUUUGGUCUUACUAACUCCAAAAGGUUAGAAAAGAGUUCCUACAAAGGUUUUGGACAGUGAUUUUAACCCUAACGCCAAAAACCUUAAAACUUACCAUAGCCCCAAAACCUAAUACCUAGGUAUUACCUUCAGGAAGCCCCAACACACCAAAUAUUUUUUUUUCAUGUUACAUUUUUUUUUGGUCUAACUUACUCCAAAAGGCCUGAAACUUGUUCCUUAAAAGGUUUUGGACAGUGAUUUCAACCCUAACGCCAAAAACUUUAAACCUUUCCCAACCCCGUAACCUAAUACCCGGGUAUUACCUUAAGGAAGCCUUAACACCCCCCAAAUUUCUUUUUUAAUUUUUAAUUUUUUUUUUUUUGGUCUAGCUAACUCCAAAAGGUUGGAAAAGAGUUCCUACAAAGGUUUUGGACAGUGAUUUUAACCCUAACGCCAAAAACCUUUAACCUUUACCUAGCCCUGUAACAUAAUAUAUACAUAAUAUUGCUCUACAAACACAUAGUCUAAAAGAUAGACAGCAUAGCAUACCAAUUGAGCUGAGUCAUUAAACUUCCUACUAACACAUAAUUUUUACACACAGAUUGAGCUCGGAGACUCGACUGGGAACAUGUGACAGGUUGACAUGCGCCGGCCAGUGCAAGCCCUUGAUCAGCCUAUCCCAAACCGCCAAGUCAACUGACGAAAGCGGGGGCUAUCACUGUAUCUCUUACUCUUACUCUUACCCACACCUAACCAGCCAGUUGCCUUCGGACAGACUUGUCACAAUAUCAUUCCGAGAAUAGUCUGAGCCCAUGCUCCUUCUGUGCACACAACCUCUCAGCCCCCCCCCCACACACACACACACACACACUUUUUUCCCCCCCUUUUUUCCCCCCCUUUAUAGAAUCUAAGAUCUUCCAGUAUCAAGGGUGAGAGUGAAUUCCAAAGAAUCCUCCACCUUGGAACCUAUACUAACACUACAAUCCUCAGAUAACUAAACAAAAAACAUCUAAACCCUAACAGCAAUGACGAAAAGAUAAAUACUUUUCAAGACAAAUUAACUCCUGACCCCACCCUGCCCCCUCCUUUUCUCCCUCUCUCCUGAUCUGUACCUCUCUCUCCUAUCAGAGGAUGAAAACCAGCAGGUGAGGAGAGUCUCAAUGGCGAGUCAUGGUGGCAAGAUCUAUUCUCUUUCUAUCACUCGAAUCCCUGUAUGAGUAGAAUGGUGCCAGACGGACCACCUGCUCCCACCACAAUCCUCCGUGACUUUUUGACUCUAUCCACUUUUAGAACUUAAAAUAGUAAUCAAUAAUCAACUGACCAACUCAGCUCAAACCAAACCUAAAACUCUGCCUAGAGAACUCUCACUUCCACGUUUACAUAUCUCUUUGUAUCUCGUGAGGACCGUGAGGAGAGCAGAGCCUAGACCUAGUCGGGUCGGGGGACUAUGUCCCUUGCUCACUCUCCUCACAUGGAUGGUGAGAGCUGGGGAGGAUGUUUCAUCCGCCACCAAAUCCCCCUCACCAAUCUUUAUUUUCCACCAUCUCCACCUCUCCCUUAAACCCCCCCUCUCCCUCUUCCCUUUCUCUCUCUCUCUCUCUCUCUCUCUCUCACACACACACACACACACACACUCCCCCCCUCUCUCUCUCCCUCUUUCCCUCUUCCCCCUCUCUCUCACACUCUCUCUCUCUCUCCCUCAUCUCUCCCUCAUCUCUCUCCCUCAUCUCUCCCCCUCUCUCCAACACACCCCCUCUUUCUUAUUCCCUCCCCUGCCCCUUUGUUUUCACCUUCACAGAGGACAAAUAGGUGAUCUUAAGCCUAGGCCUACCCCGGCCGGGGGGUAACCCCUGUUGGGUCACCUAUAUGGAGGAUUAAGAGAGACCUGUAGGGGAACCGCCGUGCCCCCUAAAUCCUCCCCCUCAAACAUCUUUUUUAACACUCUAAAAUUAGCCAGCUAACCCCACUACAAACAACUUCAUCAAAAAUUUAAAUAAUAAAUACUUAUCAAUAACUGACCAUCAGUGACACCAGACUAAGCUAGCAAAAAAGAACACACACACACAAGUACAGAUUUUCCCUUAGGACAUUGAUCAAAGUUACAUUUCUGUCUGUCUUUUAGGGAACUGUUCUCUGUUUUUAAGCUCACUUUUGAUUUUUGCUAUUUGCUCUUGACACUUCUUUUUUUCCUUUUUUCUUCCCCUUCCCUUUUUGCAAUCCACUUUUGUUCUUCUUUUAUCUUUUUAUUUUUUCAUUGUUUUAUAUUAUAUUAUUUUAUUUUAUUUUAUUUUAAAGUUCCUAUGCUCUUGUUUUUCUUCCCCCCUCCCCUCUUUUUUCUUAGGAAGGACUGACUCCUGAGGUUCUCAUGUCAGGAAAAAUGUACCUCCCUCACUCACGGUUUUACCCACAAUCCUUUGCUGCAACGGGGAGAUUGAUUCCCAAGGCUCUCAUGCCAGAAAGGAAGUACCUCACUCACUCACGGUUUUACCCACAAUCCUUUGCUGUAACAGAAAGAUUGAUUCCUUAGGCUCUCAUCCCUCAGAACUAAAAUACCCACAAUCCCUUGCGAUUGCAUACAAAUUUAAUGUAGCAAAACUCAAUUUAAAACAAAUAAACCACUUUAAAAUUAACUUAAAACAACUUGAAAGUUUAAAAUACAACCAAGAGACAUCCAUUCUGGAGAACAAACAUCGAGAAGAGAACACAACCAUGUCUGAGAGGAACAACACAAAGCAUGACUCGAGCCCCAAUCUGGGGAUAUCUGCUCCAGUUAAAACCACUUUUAAGUGCUGUGCACUAAAGAGCAAUUCCUGUUCCUGUAAUUGUGACAAAGCCGUGACCACUGGACCAAGAAGACGCACCGCCGCCUCGAGGAAGACGCCGUACCUCCUUCACUUCUAGCCGCCCACCACCGAGCUUUGACCCGCCGACGGCACCGAGUCCCAGCAAACCUUCCCGUGGACCGCCUAUCUUCUUUCCCCCGCCGAGGACCCCGGACUUCAGACACACUGCCGCCGCGGCUGGACAGCUUGAACCUUUUCCCCCUCUAACAGAUUUUAGACUACUGGAAAAGAAACGCCUCACAUCAACAACAACAUAGGACCACUAGGGUAAGUCUACAAAAAACCUCUCAAACACCUCAAAAUUACUCUAAAUAGUUACAGAAUAGCAAUUACCAAACUAGCAUACAACUAAAACUUCACAGCACCAAAACUAAAUAAGACUAAAAUAGCUCCAAUUGGCUACAGGGCACAACACGGAAGUUGAUCGACUCCGUGGGGCCUUCCUUGAAUGAGGAUAUCUAGUGUUAAAAUGGCCGAAACAUCCGAUGAUUUCGGGGUUCACUACUGAGGACUUGUCCUGAAAUUUAAUGUCCAAUACCAGCGCUGGGUCAAUGUAAUGGUUUAUUUGAAGAAUUUUUCAAACAAAUAGGUCUUCUAUUUUGAGUGUUGGUUUAUCCUGGUGCAUGAAUAAAGGUCCAUAAAACCCGCACCUUUUAUGGUUUACUUUAAUUUCUACUCUAACAUAGCAUUUCAGCAUUUGUCCAUUUACCAAACUCGUAUUUCCCACCUCUUGAUCCCAGGGUCCAGUUUUUUACAGUUUCCUUUUUUCACCUAUUCCUUUUUGCCACUCUCGUAUUUCCCACUUUCUAAUUUGGUAAACAUUGUACAUUCCAUAUUUUAUCCCAGUUUUUAUUUUUUAUUUUUUAUUUUUAGUUCUAUUUUUAUUUUCCUAUUAAUUUCCCCCUACCUGUAUAUUGUACCUGUUUUGAACAAAUAAAAAAUGUUUUGGAACAACUAUACACUCAAUUUUUAUUCCACCUUUUUUUCUCAUACUAAUUUACUUUAUAAUUCAAUUUUGUGUAUUUAUAUCACCAUUUUUUUAUUAUUUAAAUUUGCGAUUUAAAUAUAAUACAUUUGGUUCCAGUGCAAUCAAAAUUACAGUGUCCUUUGUUAUACAGAAGUCAACACAAUUUUCUCUCAGUUUUACUGUAAUAUCAAUUCAAUGUUGGGUAUAACUUUAACAGUUCCUGUUUGUACUUUUUAACGAAAUAAACAGUGUAGAAAGUGAUGACACAAUUUUAUACAACAUUCUAAUUUACACCCGUAAGCAACAAUUUGGGAGCUAACCUUACUUAUUAAACUCAAAAUUGUUUAACUCAUGGAUUACAACUUUAGAAUAGUCCAAUACCUAAAUAAACUACAAUUCCUACUCACUUUCUAACUCUGAAAUAAUAAUUUACAGUGAACCCUAGGUCCUAUAUAAUCUAUAUAAAAAAAUCUCCACUUAACUCCAAACUUAUCCAUCUAAAAUAAUGCAACCUUUUGAAAAGUCGAUACUCUGGACCAAUAAUUCUAUUUAUUGAUCCAAAAUUAAUAAUAUAACAAAAUUAAAUUAUGCAAUUAUUAAUGAAAUUGACACUUUUGACUCUGAAAUAAUAAUUUCCAAAUAAUAAUUUAUAACUAACCUUUAAGAUUUAUUUUAGAUCACAGCAUUAGGGCGUUCAGCAGAGUCUAUGGCCUAGACAGGCCUGAGUAGAAGGGGUUCCAGACAGAACCAUCCACUUUUGACUCUGAAUAAUACUUUGUAAAUAAUAAUUCAUAAAUAUUUCCAAUUUAAUAUAAAAUAAUUUUAGGUCACAGCGUUAAGGACUUUAGCAGAGUCUAUGGCCUAGACAGGCCUGAGUGGAAGGGGUUCCAGACAGAACCGUCCACUUUUGACUCUGAAUAAUAAUUUAUAAAUAAUAAUUCAUAAAUAUUUCUGAUUUAAUCUAAAAUAAUUUUAGGUCACAGUGUUAGGGAGUCUAGCAGAGUCUUUGGCCUGUAUCUCUUACCCACACCCCCAAAAAAAUUUAUUUCCUUUUUAUUUUCUUUUUUUUGUCUAACUAACUCAAAAAGGUUGGAAAAGAGAUCCUACAAAGGUUUUGGACAGUGAUUUUAACCCUAACGCCAAAAACCUUUAAACUUUACCUAGCCCUGUAACCUUAUAUCCGGGUAUUACCUAAAGGAAGCCCUACAUCCCCCAAAGAAUCGUUUUUAUUUUUUGUUUUUUUUGGUCUAACUAACUCCAAAAGGUCUGAAACAUGUUCCUAAAAAGGUUUUGGACAGUGAUUUUAACCCUAACGCCAAAAACCUUUAACCUUUACCUAUCCCCAUAACCUAAUACCUGGGUAUUAACAAAAGGAAGCCCUACAACCCCAAAUUUUUUUUAAUCAUUUUACAUUUUUUUUAGUCUAACUAACUCAAAAAGGUCUUCAAAAUGUUCCGAAAAAAUAUUGGACAGUGAUUUUAACGCUCACGCCAAAAACCUUAAACCUUACGCUAGCCCCAUAACCUAAUACCUGGGUAUUACCUUCAGGAAGCCCGAACACCCGAAAUAUUUUUUUUUCAUUUUACUUUUUUUUUGUCUAACAAACUCCAAAAGGUUGGAAAAGAGUUCCUACAAAGGUUUUGGACAGUGAUUUUAACCCUAACGCCAAAAACCUUAACCCUUCCCAUAGCCCCAUAACCUAAUACCCGAGUAUUACCUUCAGGAAGCCCUAACACCCCGUAUAUUUUUUUUUUCAUUUUACAUUUUUUUUUGGUGUAAACAACUCCAAAAGGUUGGAAAAGAGUUCCUAAAAAGGUUUUGGACAGUGAUUUAAACCCUAACGCCAAAAACCUUUGACCUUUACCUUGCCCUGUAACCUAAUACCCGGGUAUCACCUUCAGGAUGCCCUACCGCACCAAAUUUUUAUUUUCAUUUUUUUUUGGUCUAAGUAACUCCAAAAGGUCUGAAACAUGUUCCUUAAAAAUAUUAUACAGUGAUAUUAACCCUAAUGCUAAAACCUUUAACGUUACCCUAGCCCCAUAACCUAAUACUAUUAACUUAAGGCAUUACCUUAAGGAAGCCUAAACACCCCAAAAAAUGUUUAAUCAUUUUUCUUUUUUUUUUUUUUUUUGUCUAACUGACUCCAAAAGGUUGGAAAAGAGUUCCUACAAAGGUUUUGGACAGUAAUUUUAACCCUAAUGCCAAAAACCUUAAACCAUACCCUAGCCCCCUAACCUAACACCCGGGUUUUACCUUCAGGAAGCCCGAAAACCACAAAUAUAUUUUUUUCAUUUUUCUUUUAUUUUUUGGUCUAACUAACUCCAAAAGGUCUGACACUUGUUCCUAUAAAGGUUUUGGACAGUGAUUUUAACCCAGACGCCAAAAACCUUUAACCUGUACCUAGCCCUGCAACCUAAUUCCCGGGUAUUACCUUAAGGAAACCUUAACACCCCAAACAUUUUUUUUUCAUUUUUUUUU
rnacentral:lncRNA from 1 species